CACGUUUUGGUCCGAUUGAUGC
rnacentral:siRNA from 1 species